UUCUGGGGCCAGCAUUGAACGCAAGGUGUCAGCAAGUCUCCUGCCAGAGGUCCUGACGGAGGGGCUGUUCCAGGCCAUGCUCCUGGCUUCCGGUGGUUGCCGGCAACCCUGUGCAUUCCCUGCUUGUAGAGACUAUGAUGUCCGUGAGGUCAGAGGAAAGGGAGAAUGUCUCACAUACAGAAAAUGCUUGAUCAACAUUGAUGGAAUCAUAAAUGGGCCUCAGCGGCACCUGUCCUGAGUCAGCAUCUCACAGAGGUUUUGCCAGCGCCAGCCACAUCUCCAGCAUGAAGGUGAUUGUCUGAGUGUGUCCAGUCCAGUUCCUGCCUUAAUAAAAAUCACUGCUGCAAGGGAGAGGGCUGCCAAGGCCCUGCCUCCCUCCAACCCCAUCCUAGCCUGAGUCUUAACCAUUCUUCCAAUCCAGUUCCACUUUGGGCCAGUGCUUAACCCAGGGUAGCACUUUUGAGCCUCGCAACUCUUGGGAGUGAGUUUUCAUCCUAACGUUCUCAGAUGAGGAAAUUGGGCCUCAAAGAGUCCACACAGGUGAGGCACCAUGGCUCAUGCCUAUAAUCCUAACACUUUGGGAGGCCAAGGCAGGAGGAAUGCUUGAGCCCAGGAGUUCAAGACCAGCCUGGGCAACAUGGUGACACCCUGUCUCUAUAAAAAAAUACAACAAUUAGGCAAACGUGGUGGCAUGCACCUGUCAUCCCAGCUACCUGGGAGGCUGAGGUGGGAGGAUUGCUUGAGCCCAGGAGGCUGAGGCUGCAGUGAGCCAUGAUCCUGCCAGUACACUCCAGCCUGGGUGACAGAACAAGACCCUGUCUCAAAAACAAAACAAAACAAAAACAAAAACAAAGCAUCCACACAACUAGCAGGUGAAAAACUGGGGUUCAAACUCAGGCCUAUAACACUAAGGGCUGGGCCUGUCCCCACCAAAUCAGUCUUUCCUCAGACAGGCUGAGGUGUCCUCUAUAGACCAAAUAUCUGGAGGUCAGAACACUGAGACACUAGUUAUGUAAAGGCAGGGUGUGAGUUGGUGAGCUCAUCGAGAAAAUGCUUCCUGGGCUGGGUGCAGUGGCUCACACCUGUAAUCCCAGCACUUUGGGAGGCUGAGGUGGACAGAUCACCUCAAGUCAGGAGUUCAAGACCAGCCUGGCCAACAUGCUGAAACUCUGUCUCUACUAAAAAAUACAAAAAUUUGCCAAGCGCAGUGGCACAUGCCUGUAAUACUAGCUCCUCGGGAGGCUGAGGCAGGAGAACCGCUUGAACCCAGGAGGCAGAGGUUGCAGUGAGCCAAGAUUGCACCACUGAACUCUAGCCUGGGUGACAGAGCAAAACUCUGUCUCAAAAAAAAAAAAAGAAAAGAGAAAAAAGAAAGAGAGAGAAAGAAAGAGAGAGAGAAAGAGAAAGAAA
rnacentral:lncRNA from 10 species